rnacentral:rRNA from 1 species
UACGUAGGGUGCGAGCGUUGUCCGGAAUUACUGGGCGUAAAGAGCUCGUAGGUGGUUUGUCGCGUUGUUCGUGAAAACUCACAACUCAAUUGUGGGCGUGCGGGCGAUACGGGCAGACUGGAGUACUGCAGGGGAGACUGGAAUUCCUGGUGUAGCGGUGGAAUGCGCAGAUAUCAGGAGGAACACCGGUGGCGAAGGCGGGUCUCUGGGCAGUAACUGACGCUGAGGCACGAAGGCCAGGGGAGCAAACGGG